CCUACGGGGGGCAGCAGCCACAAAGGCGGAGGCCCCCAGUGUGUGGCUCAGGAGGGCACCCAGGACCUGGGAGACCUGGACAGGGUCUGGGAGGAGAGCGCAGCAGCAGAGUCCUGUCUGUGGUUGACAGGCAGGCUGCGGAGGACAGGAAGGAAAGAGGAGGCAGGUCCCCUGCUUCUUGCCCAGAACGAGGGGCUGCAAACCCCUAUAAGCAAGAAGAGCUUGCCCAGCGAGCCGGAUUGCCCACCACCUUUCAUCUCUCCUGAGACCCGGACAUCCACAGGGGCCCAAAGCAUGAGCAUCUCUCCAGGCCUCGCUGGAAUCUUCUUUGUGCUGCCCAGGUUGUCUAAUGUGGGGCGCUCACUGCGCCUGCUGCCCCCCGUAGG
rnacentral:rRNA from 1 species